rnacentral:misc_RNA from 1 species
CGCACCUUGCACCCUUUGGUAUUCCGAAGGGUAUGCCCGUUUGAGUGUCAUUGUAAUCUCACACUUCAGACUUCUUGUCUGGAGAGGUGGACUUGGAGGCUGCUGAUGUCUAACGUUAGCUCUUCUGAAAUGCAUUAGUGUGCUGUUGUCGGCAUUACAACCAGUGUUAUAAAUUCUCGCUGCGCUUUGUUGACUCUGUGCAGCUGCGCUAUCAAAUCGUCCCUCGGGACUGCUGUUGCAGCAUUUGACAACUUGACCUCAAAUCGGGUAGGACUACCCGCUGAACUUAA